UUAUUAUUUAUCAUUAUUAAUAUAAUAUUUAUUAUUUCAUUAUAUUUAUUAAUUUGUUUCUUUUUUAUAUUAUUAUUAUUUUAACUGUUUUCUAUGUUUUUGAAGUCUCAGACUUCUGUGCCUUAUUUGCGAGUCUCUCUGCUGGUCUGGUUUUGUCUCUGCUGGUCUGGUUUUGUCUCUGCUGGUCUGGUUUUGUCUCUGCUGGUCUGGUUUUGUCUCUCUGCUGGUCUGGUUUUGUCUCUGCUGGUCUGGUUUUGUCUCUGCUGGUCUGGUUUUGUCUCUGCUGGUCUGGUUUGAUCCCUCCUCAGAUGUUUAUAUUAUAUUGAUCAGGUUUUUAAAUAAUGAAUGUAUUUAUACUCUGAAGCAGUUCUUGUGCUUGAAGUCCGCCCCCCCUGACGUACCCGUGUGAGUGUGUUUCAGGACUGUCAGGAUCCAUAUCAGUCAAUCGAUCCGGGUCACGUCCUCGCUCUGCUGUUCUAACCUUUGAAUGAAGUUCUGUCUUGAAGCCUUAAAAAGGGGGCGGGGUCUAACCAAGCCAAAGUUUUUGUGCCUUUUAAUUGUAUUAUGACAUCACUUCCUGUUUAAAGGGUUCCCAGACUCCUCGAAAAUGUGAUUCUAUGAAGUUUAGGUUUACCAACCUUUCAUUAAACCCCGCCCACAUGUAGUCCCGCCCACACGCAGAGCCCCGCCCACACGCAGAGCCCCGCCCACACGUAGAGUCCCGCCCACACGUAGAGUCCCGCCCACAUGCAGAGCCCCGCCCACAUGUAGAGUUCCGCCCACUGCGUCCCCUGUCCUUCAUGAAGGAACUCACUGAGGGUGUGUCAGUGUUACCUGAUAAACACCUGUUGACUUACUGACUGUAAAUACCUGCUUACCUGAACACGAGGACCGAGACUCAGAGGGACCAGAUCCAGAUCAAGAACCAGGAUUCUUCUCAUUGGAGGAGAGCUCGUCUCUGUCCAUCCAUCACUUUUCCUAAUGUGUGUCACAGACAGAAGGUCACUCAUGGUCACGUGUAACACAUGUCAUGCGGUUCUGAUGGUUACAUGUUCUAUUACAGAGUUUAUAACCAGCUGUUAUAACACGUAUAAAUAUGUAAACAGGAAACUUCAUAGAAUCACGACGUGGAUCGACUCCCUGAACUCAUGAGCAUGAUCUCAGGUCACAUGAGGUCACGUGAGGUCAUGAGGUCCCAUGAUGUCACGUGAGGUCAUGAUGUCCCAUGAGAUCACAUGGGGUCCCAUGAGGUAAUGUGAGGUCAUGAUGUCCCAUGAGAUCACAUGGGGUCCCAUGAGGUCACGUGAGGUCAUGAUGUCCGAUGAGAUCACAUGGGGUCCCAUGAGGUCAUGUGAGGUCAUGAUGUCCCAUGAGAUCAAAUGGGGUCCCAUGAGGUCAUGAUGUCCAAUGAGAUCACAUGGGGUCCCAUGAGGUCAUGAUGUCCCAUGAGAUCACAUGGGGUCCCAUGAGGUCAUGAUGUCCCAUGAGAUCACAUGGGGUCCCGUGAGGUCAUGAUGUCCCAUGAGAUCAAAUGGGGUCCCAUGAGGUCAUGAUGUCCCAUGAGAUCACAUGGGGUCCCGUGAGGUCAUGAUGUCCCAUGAGAUCACAUGGGGUCCCAUGAGGUCACGUGAGGGCAUGUGAGGUCAUGAGGUCCCGUGAUGUCCCAUGAGAUCACUUUUGGUCCCAUGAGGUCCCUUGAUGUUCCAUGUGAUCACCCGGGGUCACAUGAGGUCCUGUGAGAUCACUUGAGGUCACAUGAGGUCCCGUGAGGUCAUGCAGUCCCGUGAGGUCCCAUGAAGUCACAUGCGGUCCCGUUUCUGUGCAGAGUUGGAUGUUGGUCUCUUGAAGUCCUCGUAGAGAUUCAGGGAUUUUGUGAGAACUGGAAACCUUCAGGAGACUCUGGGAUCGAAGCGGUUUCGUUUAUUUUCUGAGGAUCUGAUCCAGCUCUGAGCUCCAUGAUGACUGUAGAGGUGUUGUGGUGCAUUGUGGGAGCAGCAGGGACUCUAAGUUAUUAAGACAUCAUCGUCAUCUUCAUCAUGUGAAGUGUUUUAUUGUAUCAGUGCAUGGGGGGGGGAUUGUUUUAUUCUGAAAGGGCGACAGGAAGUUGUAGCAUGAACCACUGAAUAAAUAAAUCAUCUGACAACCAA